rnacentral:rRNA from 1 species
AUACGGAGGGUGCAAGCGUUAAUCGGAAUUACUGGGCGUAAAGCGUACGUAGGCGGUUGGUUAAGUUAGAUGUGAAAGCCCCGGGCUUAACCUGGGAACUGCAUUUAAAACUGGCGAACUAGAGUUGAGUAGAGGGGAGUGGAAUUUCAGGUGUAGCGGUGAAAUGCGUAGAGAUCUGAAGGAACGCCAGUGGCGAAGGCGACUCCCUGGACUCGAACUGACGCUGAGGUACGAAAGCGUGGGUAGCAAACGGGAUUAGAAACCCUAGUAGUCC